rnacentral:sRNA from 1 species
AAGGGCCCUGAAGAAUUAUUUAAACAAGAGAUGCCUCCGAGAUGUAGCUCUCCUACAAUGGGGCCACCUCCAUUGCCACAGAAAUCACUGGAAACCAGGGCUCAGAAAAAGCUCUCUUGUAGUCUAGAAGACUUGAGAAGUGAAUCUGUGGAUAAGUGUAUGGAUGGGAACCAGCCCUUCCUGGUGGUAGAACCCAAGGACAGCCCUUUCUUGGCGGAGCACAAAUAUCCCACUUUACCUGGGAAGCUUUCAGGAGCCACGCCCAAUGGAGAGGCUGCCAAAUCUCCUCCCACCGCCUGCCAGCCUGACAUCACGGGGAGCAGCCUGCUGAGGCUGAGAGACACAGAAAGUGGCUGGGAUGACACUGCUGUGGUCAAUGACCUCUCAUCCACAUCAUCGGGCACUGAAUCAGGUCCUCAGUCUCCUCUGACACCAGAUGGUAAACGGAAUCCCAAAGGCAUUAAGAAGUUCUGGGGAAAAAUCCGAAGAACUCAGUCAGGAAAUUUCAACACUGACACACUGGGGAUGGCAGAGUUUCGACGAGGUGGGCUCCGGGCAACCGCAGGGCCAAGACUCUCUAGGACCAGGGACUCCAAGGGACAGAAAAGUGACGCCAAUGCCCCCUUUGCCCAGUGGAGCACAGAGCGUGUGUGUGCAUGGCUGGAGGACUUUGGCCUGGCUCAGUAUGUGAUCUUUGCCAGGCAGUGGGUAUCUUCUGGCCACACUUUAUUGACAGCCACCCCUCAGGACAUGGAAAAGGAGCUAGGAAUUAAGCACCCACUCCACAGGAAGAAGCUUGUUUUAGCAGUGAAAGCCAUCAACACCAAACAGGAGGAGAAGUCUGCGCUGCUAGACCACAUUUGGGUGACACGGUGGCUUGAUGAUAUUGGCUUACCCCAGUACAAAGACCAGUUUCAUGAAUCUAGAGUUGACGGACGAAUGCUGCAAUACCUAACUGUGAAUGAUUUACUCUUCUUAAAAGUCACCAGCCAACUACAUCAUCUCAGCAUCAAAUGUGCCAUUCAUGUGCUGCAUGUCAACAAGUUCAACCCCCACUGCCUGCACCGGCGGCCAGCUGAUGAGAGUAACCUUUCUCCUUCAGAAGUUGUACAGUGGUCCAACCACAGGGUGAUGGAGUGGUUACGAUCUGUGGACCUGGCAGAGUAUGCACCCAAUCUUCGAGGGAGUGGAGUCCAUGGAGGCCUCAUUAUCCUGGAGCCACGCUUCACUGGGGACACCCUGGCUAUGCUUCUCAAUAUCCCCCCACAAAAGACGCUCCUUAGGCGCCACCUGACCACCAAGUUCAAUGCCUUGAUUGGUCCGGAGGCUGAACAGGAAAAGCGAGAGAAAAUGGCCUCACCAGCUUAUACACCACUGACCACCACAGCCAAAGUCCGGCCAAGGAAACUAGGAUUUUCACACUUUGGAAACAUAAGAAAAAAGAAGUUUGAUGAAUCGACGGACUACAUUUGCCCAAUGGAGCCCAGUGACGGUGUCAGUGACAGUCACAGGUUCUACAGUGGCUACCGGGGCCUCAGCCCCCUUGAUGCCCCUGAACUGGAUGGGCUGGACCAGAUGGCACCUUCGGAAGGUACCGUGACGCAGAUAGGGCUCCUCUCCCAAGACAUUCACCGCCUUACGACAAUGCUGAGCCAGGACCAGCUGCUGAAUGACUCUCACCUGCCUGCCCCCAACUCUGAUGACUGGAGAUGACUUUCUUCGUGGCUGAGAGCGUAGGGAGGCACGUGUGGGGGCCCGGAGCCUUUGCUUCUGUGGGGAGCUGGCACACAGCCCCCUCUGCAAGCCCAGUCCGGGCGGGCAGGGUGUCUCAGACAGGGUGCCGACAGGCAUGAAGCAGAGCUGUGGGACAGGUGUCCAGGGGUGGCCCCAGGGUCCAUGUGUGUCUUCAACCAUGCUGUGCUCCUCACCACAGGCUUCAUACCUUUUGUACUUUUAUACAUGGACUGCAGACCACUUUUGUGGGAGGGCAGUGAGAUAUCAGCACACCGACUCGAUGGCUCAUGCUAUUCCUGGUGACAGCC